CGAUCAUAUAUUACUUAGUUUACGGCUAAGGGACCCUUAAGUUUAGGAUGAUUAA
rnacentral:tRNA from 1 species